GAUGAACGCUAGCGGGAGGCUUAAUACAUGCAAGUCGCAGGGUAGUAUCGGAUUUAUUCGAUAUGAGACUGGCGCACGGGUGAGUAACGCGUACAUGACCUGCCCUGAAGAGGGGGAUAGCCCUGGGAAACUGGGAGUAAUCCGCCAUAGUCCACUAAAGUAGCAUUGCUUAAGUGGUAAAGGAGUGAUCUGCUUCAGGAUGGAUGUGCGUAUGAUUAGCUAGUUGGUGAGGUAACGGCUCACCAAGGCGAUGAUCAUUAGGGGGCGUGAGAGCGUGGACCCCCACACGGGUACUGAGACACGGACCCGACUCCUACGGGAGGCAGCAGUAAGGAAUAUUGGACAAUGGGCGCAAGCCUGAUCCAGCCAUCCCGCGUGCAGGAUGAAGGCGCUCCGCGUCGUAAACUGCUUUUGCGUAGGAAGAACAGACGGGAUUUAUCCUGUUUUGACGGUACUACGAGAAUAAGCACCGGCUAACUCUG
rnacentral:rRNA from 1 species